AGGAUGAACGCUGGCGGCGUGCCUAAUACAUGCAAGUCGAGCGGUAAGGCUACUUCGGUAGUACACGAGCGGCGGACGGCUGAGUAACACGUAGGAACGUACCCCAAAGUGAGGCAUAAGCACCAGAAAUGGUGUCUAAUACCGCAUGUGGUCUUCGGAUUAAAGCUUCGGCGCUUUGGGAACGGCCUGCGCAUGAUUAGCUUGUUGGUGAGGUAAUAGCUCACCAAGGCGACGAUCAUUAGCUGGUCUGAGAGGAUGACCAGCCAGACUGGGACUGAGAACGGCCCAGACUCCUACGGGAGGCAGCAGUAGGGAAUUUUCCACAAUGGGCG
rnacentral:rRNA from 1 species